rnacentral:rRNA from 1 species
AAAUUGAAGAGUUUGAUCAUGGCUCAGAUUGAACGCUGGCGGCAGGCCUAACACACGCAAGUCGAGCGGUAACACAGAGGAGCUUGCUCCUUGGGUGACGAGCGGCGGACGGGUGAGUAAUGCCUGGGGAUCUGCCCGAUAGAGGGGGAUAACUACGGGAAAC